rnacentral:rRNA from 1 species
AUAUCCGUGGUAGUUCUAGAGCUAUACUAUUCUGUAUAUGCUCGACUUCGGAUGGGUUUGUGUGUUUUAAGAUAAAACAUCCAAUGGCCAUGCGUGUCUCAGUGGUGAUUCAUGAUAACAUCACAGGAUCUCAUAGCUCUUGACACUGGAAUCGGUUACAUUCAAAUUUCUGCCCUAUCAAUCUUUCGAUGGUAUGGUAUAGGCUUACCCAUGGUUUCAGCGGGUAACGGGGAAUUAGGGUUCGAUUCCGGAGAGGGAGCAUGAGAAACGGCUACCACAUCCAAGGAAGGCAGCAGGCGCUCAAGUUACCCAAUCACGACCCGUAGAGGUCGUGACAAUAAUUAGUGAUACAGGCCUCUUGGGGGUCUUGUAAUUGGAAUGAGUACAAUUUAAACCUCUUACCGAGGAACAAUUGGAGGGCAAGUCUGGUACCAGCAGCCGCGGUAAUUCCAGCUCCAAUAGCGUAUAUUAAAGUUGUUGCAGUUAAAAAGCUCGUAGUUGAAAUUUGGGUGUGGUUGGAGGGUCCGCCUCACCGCGUGCACUCGUCCGGCCGGGCCUUCCUUCUGAAGAACCUCAUGCCCUUUACUGGGCGUGUUGGGGAAUCAGGACUUUUACUUUGAAAAAAUUAGAGUGUUCAAAGCAGGCCUUUGCUCGAAUACGUUAGCAUGGAAUAAUAAAAUAGGGCGUGCGUUUCUAUUUUGUUGGUUUCUAGAGACGCCGCAAUGAUUAACAGGAACAGUCGGGGGCAUCAGUAUUCAGUUGUCAGAGGUGAAAUUUUUGGAUUUACUGAAGACUAACUCCUGCGAAAGCAUUUGCCAAGGAUGUUUUCAUUAAUCAGCGAACGAAAGUUAGGGGAUCGAAGACGAUCAGAUACCGUCGUAGUAUUAACCGUAAACUAUGCCGACUAGGGAUCGGG